AGCGAACGCUGGCGGCAGGCUUAACACAUGCAAGUCGAGCGGGCGUAGCAAUACGUCAGCGGCAGACGGGUGAGUAACGCGUGGGAACAUACCUUUUGGUUCGGAACAACACAGGGAAACGUUGUGCUAAUACCGGAUAAGCCCUUACGGGGAAAGGAUUUAUCGCCGAAAGAUUGGCCCGCGUCUGAUUAGCUAGUUGGUGAGGUAAUGGCUCACCAAGGCGACGAUCAGUAGCUGGUCUGAGAGGAUGAUCAG
rnacentral:rRNA from 1 species